ensembl:lncRNA uncharacterized LOC107694299
CAACUCAUCAGCUCAUUAGUACAAACUCCAAAACCUCAGAUUGGUUUGUCAGAGAGACAAAAAAGCUACAGUGCAUGUCACAAUAUCUGAAGGCCAGGGUGUGCAGGCGGUGGGACAAACUGCAGGAAUAUUUAAAUUCCGCCGACAGCUACAGUAUCUGCGACGCAAAAGGGCUGGCGAUUGCGGAUACAACAGAGACCAAAGGAUGAUGGCAAUGGUAACCCUAGUUGUACCUGAGAAGUUUUUGAACUGCUUACACACAAAAGAUUUGGAAUUUUGGAAAACAUCGAGCUGGAAGGUAUACGCCAUCAGAACUGUAGACCUGGCCAAGCUCAAGACGGGAAGACUUGAAAGUGCUUCCAAAAAGAAAAGGGUGCACUCUGAAGAAAAUGAAGUUCUAGAUGGCCUGCUCGACGUUGAGCUUGAGAUAAAAAACUCUGCAUCAAGGCUAGCUGAAAACAUGGAUGAAAAAUUUAGCGAGCCAACCAUUUCAGUCGCCCACAUUAAGGCGAAUGUCCUACAGGUAGUGCAACAGAUUGAAGUGUUAGCGGAGAUGAAGGAGAAAAUUUCUGAAGUGUCAAGGUCACUAUCCGUUGCGUCCUCUCUGCGAGAUGCGGUAGCAUGCAAGAUGUGCACAAACAUGCCCAAUUCUGUGCUUGUUAUAACUGCAUGUUGUGGGCAGGUGGCAGGGUGUGGCCCCUGCAUCCAGACGCAUCUAAACGACAACGACAGCUGCCUUUUGUGUAAAGCAAAUAUGUUCGCAGGCAAACUGGUGUUUUUAAGAGGCCUGAGUGAGGUGCUAGCAAAACUGACGAAUGAAGCGACUUAAAUGGGGUCUGGCUGACCGUGUUUGGCUCAGAAGUUAAGAAAUAAUAUUGUUUUACAUAUUUUUAUAUGCAUUUGUUGUAUACCUUGCUUUGUUGUAUUUUGUUUAGAAUCUUGGGCACGGUGUUCAGGGGUUAGUACGGCAUCUGGCCGAGUAAUUUUUGUUUUUCUGUAUCACAUUUUUGUAUGUGUACUGUGUAGGGGUGUAAAUUCAUAACAGCCAGCUAAGUUUAUUUGUGUAGUCCAGUGCCACAUACAGUAUCUUAAUGGGCAUUACUGUUCCACAGCAGUUUAUGUUCCUGUUCCUGAAUAGGCCAUUUAAGAGAGACCCCCCAUUUUCUUCUAUACACUGUUGUUAUAUGAACCACAGCACAUUUUGGCUCUCCUAGCAGAAUAUGCUUGUCUAGGGUAAUUUCACUGUUAAAAACACCAUUCAUAGCACUGAUAGUGAUACAAGGUUUGUUGUAUAUCUUGUGGGGUAUUAUGAGAAACUAAAUUCUGAAUUUAACAAAUGUUAUAAAUGUUUUUAUUAUGGUAAUUAGCAAAUGUUAAAAUAAACCAGUUAAGCUUGCAAAUGGACUUAUGUCAUUAAUGCCAGUUACGUGUGACACUGACCCCACACUAAGUUCACGAUAGUCAUAGUGCAUAGCUGAUAAAUAUAGUGUUAUGUUAUGAGUGACUGUACCAAACAUAAAUCAUGUUAAUUAAUGCAAAUAAUGUAGUGUCCUUGUACUUUAGCAUGAAACCAUUCCAUGCUGCAGUUCAGGAGUGAGAGAAGACUGACAGAACAGACAAUAAAUAAUACACAAAUCCCAAAGAUUUUGAUAAUGACA